UGCCACCCAAGACGGCCGUCGGACAAGCCCGUGCGGGUGCCGGUGAUGGUGGCGGCAGGGAUCUAGUCGCUCUACCCCUUGGUGGAAGACUGCGGAUCCUAGGCGCGCGCGGGAGGUAAAGCUGGUCGGAGGCUUGGCCGUGAGGGCGGUGAGCCACCGGCGGGAGUUGGUCGCCACGCAGUGCUGCCCUGCGUCAGAUCUGGAGGUUUCUUUCACAAGUAAACAUUGCAAAGUUACCGGUUGCGUCAUACCUGCCUUAAGAUUCAUGGUCCCGGUUGGUACUGCCAGCAGCCUUGCCGGUCCAAGCAAUCAAGAUCAUCAGCAAGUCAAUAACGGAGACGGUCGAGCACUGUCAUCACACUGAACCUGCAACACCAGUGAGAUGACUGAAGAUUGGGUUGUGGUUGGAGUGAGAGGAGAAGCAAAUCACUUGACCAGUUGAAUCCUUGGGUGUACAAGACGGCCGAGCUGUGACAGGUGAAGGAGCCACUGCCGCUGCCCGCGCCGAAGAAGCGCAACUGCUCCAUGGUGUUCACCCUCAAGGAGAUGGAGGAGGCCACCGGCAUGUUCAGGAGAACUUCCUCUUUGGUUCGAUACACAUACAUUAUUUAACUGUGAUUUAGAGUUAUGAUUAUUUGAUGUGGCGAACAUAGAAUCCUGCCUGCGCAUUUCUGUGAUUAUUUUGUACCCUGAAUUCAAGUAAAUUAAGUUGCCUGUACCAAGUUGAGUAUUUAGUUCGAUGAGUAAUUUUCUGUCUGGAGAUGAUGAGCAGAGCAUAAAAAUGAUUGCUUAUCUGUAUACUGUUGUUGCUGUAGUUUAAAAGGCUCAAGAUCUUCUACUCACAUGCUUGUUUAUCUCACAUCUCUGAGCCAAAGUUAUCUCACAUGCUUGUUUAUUCAAUAUUUUUCUGACAUACGCGUAAUACAGAUGGCGUGCCCAAAAUGAAAUCUGACCGGAGACUUUGAAAGAUCAGAGAUUCUCUUGAUUGGAGUGGAGAGGAGCAGAGACGAGAGGAGCAGCAGAAGUGGACAGCGCAACGGCUGACUUUGAGCUCUUGAUUGGAGUGGGGGAGGCGGCCGACGAAGGAUCUGUGGCCAGCAGCGAAGGAUCCGAAGUUGUGGCGGAGCAGGCAGCCGGCGGGAAGGGCGGCCGGCGAGGGAGCUGCGGACCUUGGCGUGGAAGGGCGGCCGAUGAGGGAGCUGCGGACCGCGGCGGGGAAGGACGCCGGAUGAGCCCGGCGAAAGGGAGCAGCGACGGCGGAGAAGCCUGGCGUAGGGGAGGAGCGACGGAGGAAGACGCCUCCCGAUGGAUUUCAAAUCGGGGGUAGUAUUGUACUUUCACACUAUUUCACCUGGUCGGAGUGAUGCCCCCAACGACAAUUAUUUCAGAACGGAGGGAGUAAUACAAAGGAUGUUGUUCUCCUAGAAA